AUGCACGCUGGCGGCGUGCCUAAUACAUGCAAGUCGAGCGAACAGACGAGGAGCUUGCUCCUCUGACGUUAGCGGCGGACGGGUGAGUAACACGUGGAUAACCUACCUAUAAGACUGGGAUAACUUCGGGAAACCGGAGCUAAUACCGGAUAAUAUAUUGAACCGCAUGGUUCAAUAGUGAAAGACGGUUUUGCUGUCACUUAUAGAUGGAUCCGCGCCGCAUUAGCUAGUUGGUAAGGUAACGUCUUACCAAGGCAACGAUGCGUAGCCGACCUGAGAGGGUGAUCGGCCACACUGGAACUGAGACACGGUCCAGACUCCUACGGGAGGCAGCAGUAGGGAAUCUUCCGCAAUGGGCGAAAGCCUGACGGAGCAACGCCGCGUGAGUGAUGAAGGUCUUCGGAUCGUAAAACUCUGUUAUUAGGGAAGAACAAAUGUGUAAGUAACUAUGCACGUCUUGACGGUACCUAAUCAGAAAGCCACGGCUAACUACGUG
rnacentral:rRNA from 1 species